GAUGAAGAACGCAGCGAAAUGCGAUAAGUAAUGCGAAUUGCAGAAUUCCAGUGAGUCAUCGAAUCUUUGAACGCACAUUGCGCCCGCUGGAACUCCGGCGGGCACGCCUGUCCGAGCGUCAUUUCAACCCUCAGGCCCCCCUUCGCGGGCGGGCCUGGUGUUGGGGCCCGGCCGCUACCCUGCGGCCGUCCCCUAAAUUCAGUGGCGGCCUCGCCGUGAUCCCUUGCGUAGUAAUGCACCUCGCACCGGAGAGCGCCGUGGCCACGCCGUAAAACCCCCAAUUUUCAAUGGUUGACCUCGGAUCAGGUGGGAAUACCCGCUGAACUUAAGCAUAUCAAUAAGCGGAGGA
rnacentral:misc_RNA from 1 species